rnacentral:rRNA from 1 species
GACGAACGCUGGCGGCGUGCUUAACACAUGCAAGUCGAACGGAAAGGCCUGCUUUCCCUUGUGGAUUGCGGGUACUCGAGUGGCGAACGGGUGAGUAACACGUGAGUGAUCUGCCCCCAACUUGGGUAUAAGCCUGGGAAACUGGGUCUAAUUCCCGAUAGGACUGCAGGGUGGUGCCUGUGGUGGAAAACGAUUUUCUAGUGGUUGGGGAUGAGCUCGCGGCCGAUCAGCUUGUUGGUGGGGUAAUGGCCUACCAAGGCGGCGACGGGUAGCCGGCCUGAGAGGGUGGACGGCCACAUUGGGACUGAGAUACGGCCCAGACUCCUACGGGAGGCAGCAGUGGGGAAUAUUGCACAAUGGGCGGAAGCCUGAUGCAGCGACGCCGCGUGGGUGAUGACGGCCUUCGGGUUGUAAACUCCUUUCGACCGCGAGGAAGCCACCUGGUUGGAAGGGUGGUGACGGUAGUGGUAGAAGAAGCACCGGCUAACUACGUG